rnacentral:lncRNA from 1 species
GGAGGCCAGGACGGAGACCCGUGAGAAGGAAGAACAGGGAAAGCUGCGGGGGCUGCUGAGGAAGGGGCUUCACGUUGCUGGGCGCCUGGAAGAACGUUAACACAUUCUUGUCUGCUGAUGGACUGAAAAAAAUUUGAUCAAAAAUAGCUCUGGGCCGGCGUGGUGGCUUAUGCCUGUAAUCCCAGGACUUUGGGAGGCCAAGGCAGGCAGAUCACCUGAAGUCAGGAGUUCGAGAUCAGCCUGGCCAACAUGGUGAAACCCUGUCUCUACUAAAAAUACAAAAAUUAGCCGGGCAUGGUCGUGGGCGCCUGUAAUCCCAGCUACUUAGGAGGCUGAGGCAAGAGAAUCACGUGAGCCUGAGAGGCAGAGAUUGCAAUGAGUUGAGAUCAUGCCACUGCACUCCAGCCUGGGUGACAGAGUGAGACUCCGUCUCAAAACAAACAAACAAAAAAAAGCUUUGUUUGCGAAAAGAAAAAGAAAGUGCAUUCUGUCGUUGUGAAACUGCUCUCAUCAGACCAAGCAUCCUCUGUGCUGGAAGAGGGGAAACAGAGCACCCUCAAUUUGAAGCCCCUGCUCUGCAGCGCCCCCUGCUGUCAGGGCACUGAGCCGAGCAAUGCUGAUUGUGGUCCAAAAGAUACUGGCAUGAAGGGCUGUGCUGACAUUUUACAAAUAGGGAUAAUUAUUAGGACCAAUGACCUUCGCAUGUGAAAGUAGAUACUGUCUUAGUUGCCCAUUUGAGUGCAGUGAGUUGAUAGGCACAUCAAAAGACUCUUGACAGUUCAGUCACCGACUAAAAUUCGGUACCAUCCACUUUUUAUGAAUUAAAUAUCUUGGAAAGUCAAUGCAUCGUCACAUCUACAUUUUAUAACUUCAGGAUAAUUUAAGAUGACUCAAGUAAGAUGAGAGGAAGAAAUGCAGAGAGUCGUUUUAGUUAAAAAUUCUUUCAAGUAAAAUGUUGUCACAUAGAGGUAGCAUUUUUCUUUUUUGUUUCAACUUUUAUUUUAGACACAGAGGGUACCUGUGUAUGUUCACUACACGGGCAUACUGCACCCAGGUAGUGAACACAGUACCCAAGAGGUAUUUCUAGUUUUCUGUCCCUGCAUUAAUUCAUUUAGGUUUGUGGCCUCCAGCACCAUCCAUGUUACUGCAAAUGACAUGACUUUAUUCUUUUUAUGGCUGCAUAGUAUCACACAGUGUCUAUGUACCGCAUUUUCUUUAUCUAAUCCACCACUGAUGGGCGCCUAGGUUGAUUCUGUGCCUCUGCUAUUGUGAAGAGCAUGGUGAUGAGCAUACGAGUGCAUGUGUCUUUCUGGUGCAACGAUCUAUUUUCACUUGGGUAAAUCUCAGUAACAGGACUGCUGGGUCUAAUGGUAGCUCUGUUUUAAGUGCUUUGAGAAAACUUCAAACUACUGUCCAGUAGCUGAACUAAUGUGCAUUUCCACCAAGAAUGUAUAAGUGUUCUCUUUUCUCCACAGCCUCUCCAGCAUCUGCUGUUUUU